rnacentral:lncRNA from 1 species
CCCGUUUUCAGACGACCCGUCAGAGAGGUUCUCUCAGAGCUCGAGGAUUCCGUUAAAAGACUCCUGGAAGGUGUACCUAUGCGGAAUGAACAAGUGGAUGUUAUCAGUAGUGUAAUGAACGUAAUUGAGGUGGAGCUCUACAUGUUUCUUGGAAUUCUAGUUUAUAGCUCUGAUUCAAGGUCAUUCCAGAGAAUGAUGUACUGUGAGUUGGAACAUUUUGCACGCAAACUGUUUCAUGUCUUAUUCAACUGCUGCCAAAACGGGCUUGUCGGGGUGCACCAAAUUGCGCAGGCUUUUAUUGCCUCGGUGAUGAGCAGUUCAACCAUGUCCAUCUCUCAAAUCAUGAAAAUGUGGAUUGUUCAUGCGACAGUGUCUUUCUUGCGCGCAAACCUAAUCAUCAACCCUGAGCGGUCAGACCUGUUUGUCGCCCAGCAAAUAUUGGAGGAAGGAGCUAGUGGAAGCAGCAGUAGCAGUAGCAGUAACGGUAUUUCCUCUUCAAACAGGAGCGGUGAAAGUUCCUCAGAGACGCCUAUGGCUGUGCCCACAACCUCUGAAAGCUUAUCACCUGAUUCUGGAUCGACCUUGUCGAAUCUAAUGCAAAUAAUUAGUCAGAAUGUAACUUUGGGAGACGCUGUACGCCUUUCCUGCGGAAUCCGAGUUUCAUUGGCCAAUGUUGGGAGGCAGCUGGAGGAUUUCUUGCGCAGGAGAUUCCCCUCCGUCAGAGAGCUCCAGCGAGGACAGUUGGUUAUCGACAUCAUUCGCAACUCUUAUGGAAUGCCCCAGCUACGCAUGCCUGUGCGUGAGCUUUAUGGAGAACUGAGAGCAACUGUAGGAUCAGUUUUGACUUUUGCAGACAUGCGAGAAGGGAUCGAUGCAGUAGCGGCUGUGAUGGAUGUUAUUGAAUCACGUCUAUACGUAUCCUGGCGUUCUGUUUCUCAGUCCGGACUGGGAGCAAUUUGA